CAACUUUCAGCGAUGGAUCUCUCGGCUUUCGUAUCGAUGAAGAACGCAGCAAAUCGCGAUAUUUAAUGUGAUCUGCCUAUAGUGAAUCAUCAAAUCUUUGAACGCAUCUUGCACCUUAUGAUAUUCCAUAAGGUACAUCUGUUUCAGUACCAACU
rnacentral:rRNA from 1 species